GUGCUUUCUUUGGCACCACAUAUACUAAAAUUGGAAUGAUACAGAGAAAAUUAGCAUGACCCAUAUACAAAAAUGACAUGUAAAUCUGUGAAGCAUUCCAUACUUUU